rnacentral:rRNA from 1 species
UACAGAGGUCUCAAGCGUUGUUCGGAUUCAUUGGGCGUAAAGGGUGCGUAGGCGGCGCGGUAAGUCGGGGUGUGAAAUCUCGGGGCUUAACUCCGAAACUGCAUUCGAUACUGCCGUGCUUGAGGACUGGAGAGGAGACUGGAAUUUACGGUGUAGCGGUGAAAUGCGUAGAUAUCGUAAGGAAGACCAGUGGCGAAGGCGGGUCUCUGGACAGUUCC